rnacentral:rRNA from 1 species
UGGGGAGUCUUGCACAAUGGGCGAAAGCCUGAUGCAGCCAUGCCGCGUGAAUGAUGAAGGCCCUAGGGUUGUAAAAUUCUUUCAUCAGGGAUGAUAAUGACAGUACCUGAAGAAGAAGCUCCGCCUAACAUCGUGCCAGCAGCCGCGGUAAUACGAAGGGAGCUAGCGUUGUUCGGAAUUACUGGGCGUAAAGCGCGCGUAGGCGGACUUUUAAGUCAGAGGUGAAAUCCCGGGGCUCUACUCCGGAACUGCCUUUGAAACUGGAAGUCUAGAGACCAGGAGAGGUCAGUGGAAUACCGAGUGGAGAGGUGAAAUUCGCAGAUAUUCGGUGGAACACCAGUGGCGAAGGCGACUGACUGGACUGGAACUGACGCUGAGGCGCGAAAGUGUGGGGAGCAAACAGGAUUAGAUACCCGUGUAGUCC